GAAUAAGAAUGAACUUUUAAUCCUAACAGGAUUUGUAGUUUUAUAUCUGUAAUUCAACACUCGUUUUUCGGUAUCAAUUCAUAGCAGAGUGUUAACUGGUGCAAAAUUGUUGCUUUAGAUGUUUAUGUUUCUUUACUUUGUUAUGCAAAGUUCUCAUUUCUUUUGUUUGAAGUUUCAAAUUGUCUGCAUCUCUUUAAGUUUGUGAGUUUAGAAGAUGGCAGCAGCUUUAGAUUCUUUUGUUGACAGUCACUAAAAUGCUUGGUUCUGAGGUUAGCAAAAUUACAUUAUGUUAUUGUUUAGCUAUGUGAUCUUUUUUUCAGCGUCUAGACUUGCAACUUUUAUUU
rnacentral:lncRNA from 1 species